rnacentral:rRNA from 1 species
GGAUUAGAUACCCUGGUAGUCCACGCCGUAAACGAUGUCAACUAGCCGUUGGGCUCAUCAAAGGGCUUAGUGGCGCAGCUAACGCGAUAAGUUGACCGCCUGGGGAGUACGCCGGCAACGGUAAAACUCAAAGGAAUUGACGGGGGCCCGCACAAGCGGUGGAGCAUGUGGUUUAAUUCGAUGCAACGCGAAGAACCUUACCAGCCCUUGACAUCCUCGGAACUUUCCAGAGAUGGAUUGGUGCCUUCGGGAACCGAGAGACAGGUGCUGCAUGGCUGUCGUCAGCUCGUGUCG